rnacentral:tRNA from 1 species
GGUCGCCGUACGCCUCGCGGGCGAGGGCGGCGAUCUCGUCCAUCGCGGCGUAGGCGUCGUCGACCUCGGACGGUUCGAGACCCUCGACGUCGA